rnacentral:rRNA from 1 species
GAUGAACGCUGGCGGCGUGCCUAAUACAUGCAAGUCGAGCGAAUGGAUUAAGAGCUUGCUCUUAUGAAGUUAGCGGCGGACGGGUGAGUAACACGUGGGUAACCUGCCCAUAAGACUGGGAUAACUCCGGGAAACCGGGGCUAAUACCGGAUAACAUUUUGAACCGCAUGGUUCGAAAUUGAAAGGCGGCUUGGGCUGUCACCUAUGGAUGGACCCGCGUCGCAUUAGCUAGUUGGUGAGGUAACGGCUCACCAAGGCAACGAUGCGUAGCCAACCUGAGAGGGUGAUCGGCCACACUGGGACUGAGACACGGCCCAGACUCCUACGGGAGGCUGCAGUAGGGAAUCUUCCGCAAUGGACGAAAGUCUGACGGAGCAACGCCGCGUGAGUGAUGAAGGCUUUCGGGUCGUAAAACUCUGUUGUUAGGGAAGAACAAGUGCUAGUUGAAUAAGCUGACACCUUGACGGUACCUAACCAGAAAGCCACGGCUAACUACGUGCCAGCCGCCGCAGUAA